rnacentral:rRNA from 1 species
GAUGAACGCUAGCGGCAGGCCUAACACAUGCAAGUCGAGGGAGAAGCCCUUUCGGGGGCCGAAACCGGCGCACGGGUGCGUAACGCGUAUGCAACCUACCUUUCACAGGGGGAUAGCCCGAAGAAAUUUGGAUUAAUACCCCAUAAUAUUAUUGGAUGGCAUCAUUUGAUAAUUAAAACUGCGGUGGUGAAAGAUGGGCAUGCGUCCUAUUAGCUAGUUGGAGUGGUAACGGCACCCCAAGGCUACGAUAGGUAGGGGUCCUGAGAGGGAGAUCCCCCACACUGGUACUGAGACAGGGACCAGACUCCUACGGGAGGCAGCAGUGAGGAAUAUUGGUCAAUGGUCGGAAGACUGAACCAGCCAUGCCGCGUGCAGGAAGAAUGCCUUAUGGGUUGUAAACUGCUUUUAUAUGGGAAGAAUAAGGCGUACGUGUACGUUGAUGACGGUACCAGAUGAAUAAGCAUCGGCUAACUCCGUG